UACGUAGGGGGCGAGCGUUGUCCGGAUUUAUUGGGCGUAAAGAGCUCGUAGGUGGUUUGGUAAGUCGGAUGUGAAAUCUCCAGGCUCAACCUGGAGGGGUCAUUCGAUACUGCCAUGACUAGAGUUCGGUAGGGGAGUGUGGAAUUCCUGGUGGAGCGGUGAAAUGCGUAGAGAUCCGGAGGAACACCAGGGGCGAAAGCGGCCGACUGGCCGAGUGCUGACGCUGAGGCGCGACGGCGUGGGGAGCAAACCGG
rnacentral:rRNA from 1 species